rnacentral:misc_RNA from 1 species
GUGAAUCAUCGAAUCUUUGAACGCAAAUUGCACUCUCCUCGGAGAGUAUGCCUGUUUGAGGGUCAGCCUAUAAAAAAUCGACAUCGUUGCUGUUUCGCGGUGGCGUUCGUCGGACAUUGGGUCAUCUUAAAUCUUAUGGUAUUAAGCGACUUAAAAUUUUCUUUUUGGUUCCAUUAACGUUUCUGCGGUUUAUUUCUUUACACGUUGAAGGUAUCGAUUUUUAUUAGACGUGACCAUCAUAUCAGAUCGCGCCCCUAAUCUUACAUUAACUGACC